rnacentral:rRNA from 1 species
CCUGACUGCUAUUGGAGUGGGACUAAGUCACGCUAGUCAAAGGUGCGGAAUGGAGCACCUGGCGUACGGCUCAGUAACACGUAGUCAACCUACCCUAAGGACGAGGACAACCACGGGAAACUGUGGCUAAUACUCGAUAAGAAAUUUGGCCUGGAACGGUAUCUUUCACAAAACCGGCUCGCCGUGAGACACGGGCCUUAGGAUGGGGCUGCGGCUGAUUAUGCUAGAUGGCGGUGUAAAGGACCACCAUGGCUACGAUCAGUAUGGGCGAUGGAAGUCGGAGCCCAGAGUCGGCUACUGAGACAAGGAGCCGAGCUUUACGAAGCUUAGCGGUCGCGAAAACUCGCCAAUGCACGAAAGUGUGAGUGGGCUACUCCAAGUGACAUUCUUACGGAUGUCUGUCGCUCAGUUUUACCAGCUGAGAAAGGAAGGAGAGGGCAAGGCUGGUGCCAGCCGCCGCGGUAAAACCAGCUCUUCGAGUGGUCAGGACGAAUAUUGGGUCUAAAGCGCUCGUAGCCGGACAAGUAGGUUCUUGGUUAAAUCCGACAGCAUAACUGUUGGUCUGCUGGGAAUACCGCUAGUCUUGGAAGCGGGAGAGGACAGAGGUAGUCAUAGGGCAGGGGUGAAAUCCAGUGAUCCUAUGGCGACCACUGAUGGCGAAGGCAUCUGUCUGGAACGUAUUCGACGGUGAGGGGCGAAAGCUAGGGGAGCGACCCGGAUUAGAUACCCGGUUAGUCCUAGCCGUAAACGAUGCGGACUAGGUGUUACAGCGGCCAAGAGCCUCUGUAGUGCCACAGCGAAGGCGUUAAGUCCGCCACCUGGGGAGUACGGAUGCAAGUCUGAAACUUAAAGGAAUUGACGGGGGCGCACCACCAGGAGUGAAGCCUGCGGUUU